rnacentral:lncRNA from 1 species
CUGAAUUAGGUGCGAGAGCUGGCCAUGUGGCUGUCUGAGGCAAAAGCAUUCUAAGCAUAGAAAACAACAAAUGUGGCGGCUAGGCGCGGUGGCUCACACCUGCAGCCCAGAACUUUGGGAGGUCGAGGUGGGUGGAUCACCUGAGGUCAGGAGUUCUGCCCCUUGACAGGCUGGCUGGCUUCCAUCUCAGGUCAAACAGCUGUGUGCUUGGCACGCUCAAGACAAAGUUGAGCAAGAUGCCAAGGGAGCCACACGCAUUAUCCUGGGCCUGGUGAUGCUCACUCCAGACACAUUCACAGAUACAGCAAAGAAGAAAUGGGUAAGGACUGUGAUGUGGAUGCCAAGUGCCAUGCACCAAGUUGGUUAAUACUUCAAACCAAGAGUCAGCCAGGCAUGGUGG